GACGAACGCUGGCGGCGUGCCUAAUACAUGCAAGUCGAGCGAACAUUUGAGAGCUUGCUCUCAAAUGUUAGCGGCGGACGGGUGAGUAACACGUGGGCAACCUGCCUAUAAGACUGGGAUAACUUCGGGAAACCGGAGCUAAUACCGGAUAAUUCAUAUCUACUCAUGUAGGUAUGCUGAAAGACGGUUUACGCUGUCACUUAUAGAUGGGCCCGCGGCGCAUUAGCUAGUUGGUGAGGUAACGGCUCACCAAGGCAACGAUGCGUAGCCGACCUGAGAGGGUGAUCGGCCACACUGGGACUGAGACACGGCCCAGACUCCUACGGGAGGCAGCAGUAGGGAAUCUUCCGCAAUGGACGAAAGUCUGACGGAGCAACGCCGCGUGAGUGAUGAAGGUUUUCGGAUCGUAAAACUCUGCUGUUAGGGAAGAACAAGUACUAGAGUAACUGCUAGUACCUUGACGGUACCUAACCAGAAAGC
rnacentral:rRNA from 1 species